UACGUAGGGGGGCAAGCGUUGUCCGGAAUCAUUGGGCGUAAAGAGCGUGUAGGCGGCCCGAUAAGUCCGCCGUGAAAGUCCAGGGCUCAACCCUGGAAUGCCGGUGGAAACUGUCGGGCUGGAGUCCGGAAGAGGCGAGUGGAAUUCCUGGUGUAGCGGUGAAAUGCGCAGAUAUCAGGAGGAACACCAAUGGCGAAGGCAGCUCGCUGGGACGGUACUGACGCUGAGACGCGAAAGCGUGGGGAGCAAACACGGAU
rnacentral:rRNA from 1 species